CCCCGGGGUCACCGGCCGAGCUUCCUUUUGGCCGCGGGGCCGCGCAUCCGCGCUGGGAGACGACGCUGUUCUGCGUGUGCGGCCUCCGCGUUCAGACGACAAAUAGCCAAGGAUUUCAGUGCUAGAUUGGCAGAGCUGAAAACUACAAGCAUUGAACAUGUGGACGACACAAAGUGAAGGGAAACAGUGUCUUCAGGACAUGAGGUACACAAAGGAUCAAAUCAGCUUUUGGAGGAACUGCUAUAGAAUUUAGCAACACAGAGCUUUGUUUCACUGAAUUGUUUGAAGCUACUUGGAGACAGCUUUUGCUGUAGUAGUCAAAAUUCACCUGUGACCCACCUCAGAAGAAUGAAGACCUCUGGAGCCCCAUCUGAUGGCAGACUAUGGAACCUUCUGGAAGGCAAUCACGCUGCUGGACAGCUGCUUUGGUCUGGAGUGCUGUAGGGGUAUGGAUUACUGUGUGAUGAAACUGACCUCAAAGCACAGAGAGCAAACCUUUUAAUAAACUCUUGCCAGUUUCCCACUUGCCCAAAUCCUUUUGGCUAUAUCCACAAAGCAGUGUAAAUAUGUGGAGCCUAUUAGCUUUUAUAAUCAGUCAACGUUCAAUAACCACUCUACUUGAUCAUGGUAGUUAUUAUUCCAGAAGUUGUGACACAUAACUCCUCAUGGAUUGUUUUCUUAUCUUUAGAAAUAUUGACAUUUGAAUACUUUUUUAAGAAAUCCAGUGUAAAAUUUCCUAGUUUCUCUCCUAAGCUGAUUCUCUGAAUGCCCCAGGGAUGUGAACCUUACCUUCAGCAAUCACUACCCAGGACAACUCUGAACCUUAAACCCCCUGUUGACUAUAGCCACCCCAAUCUCGGAGGCACCAUUUCCCCAGGUGUGGAGAGACUCACCCCAAGUGGUGCCCCAGCCCUAUGAAGACAUCUGGGUUCUGGGCUUGUCCCAGUCCCUGAGGGUCACUCUCAUUGCCAUUUUAGAUCAUGAGAGUAUUUCCCUGGAUGAGGUCUCUGUCCCCACCAGUCUCCAGAUAUAUUCUUUAACCGAUGCCUUGGGAAAAACCUCAAGCAAGGAUCUUUUCAGUCUUCACAAACCACAGGCUUGUAUGACUAAAGAUGGAUGAACCACCUUGGGGGUUGGGCCUAGGCUUCCCCUUAUGGAAAGCCUUUUUAAAGAAAGAAAAUUCUGAGCAGAAUUGCUUGUUUCAGAUGGGCACACUUUGUGCAAUGGAGAAAGAAUAUUAAUUUCUAUAAGUUAACACAAUGAGAAAACCAUUUUUAUUUCAUGUCCCAUUUAAUCAUGUUCCCCUGUCUCAGUCCACUUGGGCUACUAUCACAGACCCGGUGGCUGAAACUACAGGACUGCAUUUUCUCACCUUUUCGGAGACUGGAAGUCCAGGAUCAGGGUGCCGGAGGGCUGGCUUCUCCUGAGGCCUCUCUCCUUGGCUGGGAGGUGCCCCCUUCUCUUUUUGCUGCGCCCUCCUGCAGCCUUUCCCCUGCAAGAACACACUCCCUCGGUCUCUUCAUCUUCUUAUAAGGACAGGAGUCCUAUUGGUUUAGGGCCUCACUACCCUUAUUACCUUAGUAGCCUUAAUUACCUCUUUAACUGGCUAUUUCCAAAUACAUUCACAAUGUGGAUUAGGCUGCAACCUAUGAAUUUUGGAGGGGACACAAUUUGGUCUGAUUGUGGACUGAGGUUUUCCUGUGUGUGCAAUGCCCUGUGCUCACAUUGGAAUUCAGGCUGUAGGAUCCUCCGUCGUUUGUGCUCUGGUACGAACACUAUGAGGGAUAACAAAUUAACAUGAUUGUAUUUUCCUAUUGGUCUCAGAUCACCUGACCUGUAUAGGGACUGACAGGACAUGUAAUAAACUGAGAUAGAUGAAUUCCAAGCAUGUUGCUGAGGAAGUUAAAGUCAUGUCCUGGUUUGGUUAGCUGCGUGAGUCAGUCUGGCACCAACAGGGCUCUGAAACCAGGAUCCCAUAUGGAUGGAUUAGCUGCUUCAAGACACCAGUGCUGAUGCAGGGCCCAGAGGUGCCACAGGUCUGGCUGCCCAGCCCUGAAACGCCUCCAUGAAACAGCCACAUGGGCAAAAGCUAACCCAUCACCAUUUCCUUAGCAAGGGCCAAGAUACAGUCCUGUAAACUCAUCUGUUAGUAAGAUCCUAUUUCCCUUCUGUGGAAAUGUACUUGUCCUUCACAAUGGAAAUGUGUCUGUGAGGUGCACAAGCCUGGUGCCCAGGUCUCGCUUUCCUGGGUUUGGACACAAUAGAACUGCAGCGUCACAUAACCUCUGGAUUCAGUUUCCUGGGGUGCUCACUACUCCUUCCUUCCCUCUUCUGCUCCCGGAGCCUCCCUGAGGCCCAGCCUAGGUCUUCUGCCUAUCUCAACGGCCCCUGCCAGGGUCAAGUCCUUCCCGAUGGUCUCCUUCCCAGUGAGGGGGCCUCAACCACAAGCUCCCUGCCCUGCAGAUGUGCCCCCAGACCCGAGGAAAAGGCUUGUGGGUGCUGGAGCAGGGGACCCAGCCAUAUUAGGCAUUUUACUCACCCAAACACGACUGUGCAGAGGAUCCUUGCAUCCCCUUGCUCCUAGGGCUCAGUGCCCGCACCUGCUAAGCCCCUCUCCUGGGGUCCUUAGAUUGCAAGGUCCCUUCCUCAGUGUCCCCAGCCCUUGGUGACCCCACCCUGCAGUGCCCUAGCCUGCAGCAUCCCCAGCACUGUGCCCUAGCCUGUGGUGUGCCCAGCCCACAGUGACCGCAGCCCUCUAGGUGCUUAGCCGGGGGAGUCCCAGCCCUCACUGUCCCCAGCCCGCAGGCCCUGCCCAGGCAGCCCAUAGAGCGAGUUGCCUCCAUGGAGGGGAGCCCCCCGGGACAAGAUUUGGGAGGGGGCAGAGCCUGGCCGGACCAAGCCUGAUGAAGGCUGCCUGGGUUCAUCUCCACUGCCACAGGUUCAGCCGCAGAGCACCCGCUUCACCCAAUUUAUUUCCACUAUGGCAACUUUACCUGCUGCCAUUUUGAUAAAGGAGUUUGGCUGAAUCAACCUUUACAAGUAAUAACUUCACCAGGUAAGGUGGACUCAUUUUUUUCUACAAAGUUCAAUAGUCCAUUCCACUGUAACUUGGAGUUUUAAAAAGACUUUUUUUAAGGCCUCCUGGUUGUUUUUCCUCUUAUCUUUUAGAAAACUGCCCUGAAUGGACUGGAAAGUCCCAAAGGGAUGACCAUGGUCACAGCCAGCUCUGCUGUGAGGUGGUUGCCCAGAAACGGGGUGUCCAGCUGCUCCGCGGGCCAGCCUGUCCUAGGCCCUAGGCUCUGGGGUUGAAGAACACACAGUGGAAGGCGUUACCUCACACCAUGGGCAGAAACAUGGUUUGGAAGUCCAGGGUCAGAAACUGCAAGUGUCAUAACUGUGCCUGUGGUGUUGAUGGCUUACCUGUGUAAGGGGACCCAGUAGGCGUAACUGGUGCUGGCCUACUCAGACCUGAAGGAUUGAAAGACUGAAUUUAGAAAUAAUUGCAUUUAUGUGACCAGUUCCUGAAUAGUUUGAUGUGCAGUUGCACUAGUUUGUGGUCCAGACCACCACCACCUCUUGUGUCUCUGUUUCCCCCGGAACAGUUUAUCCACAUCCAAGCACCAUGGUGUCCUGGGGGCCCCACCCCAGCAUGCAGCUGCAUCCUGCAGCUCAUGGCCCAGACCCUCUGCCCUCCUCACAUCACAAGCCUGAGGCCGAGCCCAACUUCUCCCACUAGCCCCACCUAUCACCUGUCACUUGUGUCAUUUCCUCUGUGUCAGUAUUUUGCAGGUUCCCAGCUUUCCCUGGAGUCACUUCUGAUCCACAUCCCCCCACCCCCACUGCACCCCUGACUCCAUUUCCAGAGAGUUCUUCCUGUUCUCUUUUCCUUGUCAUUUCUGUUCAUCUGGACACUCUCCUAGAUGCCUGCUGCCCUGCAUGUGCUCUGUGAGGAACCCGAGUCAUUAUUCCUCCUUCCUUCCCUCCCUGACCUCCAGCCCCUCCUCCCUUCCCUAGUUCACCUCUGUCCAGCCUGCUGCAGCCUGGCUGAUCCACGUUCAUCACCAGGUUUGCACAAUGUCAAGGGAGGUAGGACCCUUGGCAGUUUGGUUCCAGCACCUUUCUCCAUCUUUCUUUUCUAACUCUUCUUUCCACCAAAUCUCUGCUUCAGGCUCAUUGAUUAAUGUGUGGCCCUUAAAAUGUGUCAGGUGCUUUUUGUUCAUUCUAUUCUCUAGUCUUUGCUAUCUUUUCUUGCAAGUCCAUCCAUUCCACAGAGCCCUGAUUUCCCAGCUCCACUGUCCAGCUCUGCUCCAUUAGUGGGGCCUUUUCAAACACGCCCCUGUGUUUUCAUGGCUUCCUUAGAAUAACAGAUGAGUUUUCUGCAUCACGGGUGGUCUCAGAUUGUCCUGUCUCCAUCCAGGUCUGGGCGAUAGGGUCUUCUCUCCUCCUCAUUUCUAAUUUAUGCCGCUUCUUUAGCUUAGCAUACAUUUAUUAGGCAUCUGUUAUGGGAUAGGCACUCUGCUAGGUACUAGAAUUAUAAACAAUGCAGAUACUCUGGUCCCAGGACACUCACAAUAUAGCAGUGGCUAUCCACAUAAAAAAAGGCAAGUACAAUUCAAUCAGGAAACAGUUGAGUGAGUUGUUACGGUGAUGGGCUUGGCUCUGAUGCAUCUAGAUUUAAAUCCCUCCUCCAUCACUUAUUACCCCUGCUGCACUCAGUAUCUGUGUCUGGUUCCCUCCUCUGAGAAGUUACAUUGCCAGUAGCUCUAUGCCAGGCAGGUUGUGGGGAUGAAUGGGAUAUUCUGAUGCAGCACUUACCCAGCCCCUGGCUCUGGGUCUGGGCCCAGCAGCCAACCCUGGCUGCUACUGUAACUCUGCCCAGGCUCCAGGGACACUGGCUGGGGCUCAGGAGCAAGGAGGUUCAUGAAGGACAUUUCCCAUGUGCGGGUAGAGGCAUUAGGGCAACAGGAUAAGAUUUGAAUGUUUAUAAAAUGCUUCUCUCUCUUGCCAUUCUGAGUACUUACUCUCCUGAUAAAAUCUGUACCAUGGAUGGGCUUGAUCCAAAAUAUAAGAAAGGGGAAGUAAUGAAUUAAAAUGUAGUUUCUGAACUUACAGUGUACUUAGGUAGUCCUGGCAGCUCCUGACCACUGUUUGUUUGGCUUAUUUGAGGAGGCCACUGGUCUGAGACUCUCAGGCCCUACCUGUCAUUGUGUACAGUUUAUCCACAUCCCCGAACAGUUUAUCCACAUCCAAGCACAAUGGGGUUCUGGGGAAAUAGUAGGAAGUCUCUCUGGCCACAUAUCUGUACUGUGGAUAUGUGGACAGCAUGGCUAGAUGAGGUGUCCAGCUAGAUUCCUGGAUCCAUCUCCAGUUGGUACCAGACUCAGAAGGGGAAGAAAGAUGUGUGACAUCAUCCUCGUAACAUACUCCCAAAAUUAACCGCUUUCUCACUUAUUUUGUGAUUCACUUUCUCUCAAAUAUCAACUCUUCCCAAAGCCACAGAUCCACAAAUUCAAUUCCCUUCUGCCUCUUCUCCAUGAUAAAUACUAUUUUUUAAAUUCUUCUUUCAAAGACUCUGUAGAGAAAAUCGCAGUGCUAUUGCCAGGUUGCUCACCUGACAGACUGCCCACGUGCAAUGCUAUCUCAUGCAUGUGUAAUACUUGGCCAACCGUGCAGGUGCAUGCUUACACAUGUGUUGGCAAUGAGCCAUUAUUGUCUGUGUUGCUAUAUAAAGCUCCACUUGGAUUGUGGAUGACAGGCUUGCUGCCUGUGAUGCAGCCAAUAUAAUCUAAGUGCUCAACCGGCCGCCCGAGAAUAAAGCUGAGUAUGAACCCCUUUCCCCAUGUUCUGAUGUCGAUUUUCAGUCUCCGUGAAUCCAGAGUGAACUUGCUAGGAGCCAAAACCCUCCAGCACUACAGCCUCCAUGGCCUUUUCUCUAGUUUUCCGCAAUCUUGUAUUAUUCAUAAGUAAUUUGUAUUACACUUUUACAUAUUUGCUUGAAUCUGAUUCACCCAACACUACUAUCUUGAAAAUGACUUCCUUUCCUUUCCUUUUGUCUCCCAUAUAUCCCAAGUCUCAAGUUGUCCUCACCUUCUGCUUUUAAACUCUACAAGUCUAGUAUGGAAACAUAUGUGGUGGUUGAUGUAACGUGUCAUCUUGGCUGGGAUGUGGUGCCCAGAUAUUUGGUCUAACAAUAUUCUGGAUGUUUCUGUGAAGGUGUUUAUGGAUGAGAUUAAACAUUUAAAUUGGUGGAC